GCGCCUAUAGCUCAGUUGGUAGAGCAGGGGACUUUUAAUCCUCGGGUCCAGGGUUCGAGCCCCUGUGGGCGCA
rnacentral:tRNA from 1 species